UACGGAGGGAGCUAGCGUUGUUCGGAAUUACUGGGCGUAAAGCGCGCGUAGGCGGCUCUUCAAGUCAGGGGUGAAAUCCCGGGGCUCAACCCCGGAACUGCCCUUGAAACUGGAUGGCUAGAAUACUGGAGAGGUGAGUGGAAUUCCGAGUGUAGAGGUGAAAUUCGUAGAUAUUCGGAAGAACACCAGUGGCGAAGGCGACUCACUGGACAGUUAUUGACGCUGAGGUGCGAAAGCGUCGGGAGCAAACAGG
rnacentral:rRNA from 1 species